UUCUCCCAAAAAAAAAGUUUUUCCUACUGAGGUAAAUCUUCAUCAAACGCAGGCAGAACCUUCUUUUUCUGGGUAUUUGAGUUUGAAUUUGAUUGAGUUGAGCAAAUAAUUUCUUACAAAAUUCAAUCAAAUUGAAACCCUAAAAUUAACCAGAAAUCAAGAAGAUGAGUGAAAUUCAAAUGGAUGAAAGUAGCAGUGAUCCUACUCUUGUUGAAAUCCUUCUCAAAACAAUCGGUCCUACUCGCCCUUCUCGCCUUAAACUUCCUCCUCACAUUAAGGUACGUGAUUUGAGGAAAUUAGUUGCUGAAAGUAAGAAUUUACCAAUCGAAAGUUUGAAGCUAAUUUUUCGAGGGAAUGCAUUGCAUGAUUCCGAUGAUGGAGAUGAUGUUUUUAUUCGGCUUGCUGAUGGUGAUUGCUUGAUUGUAGCAGUCAGACCGAAGGCACCGCCAAAGCAUAUUAGAGCUGGAUAUGACGAUGAUGACGAGGAUGAAGACGAUCUGAAGUUCCAGCUCCCAGAGUCAACAAGUCGAUGGAAGCGGAGACUCUUUCGUAUUUUACAUGAUAAGUUGAAGCUUCCUGAUAUCAUCUUGAUUGCAAUUUUCUCUCUCAGCAUAAAGGCUUGGGCCUUAAUUAUCCUAUGGUUUAUCAUGGCUCCAGUUGCACACCGAUGGGAUCUUGGACCUUUAUAUAUACUCGGAACAGGAUUUUUUAUAAUCUUUUGGAAUCUUGGACAUCGUCAGUCAGGCGAACUCAGUGCAUAUUCAAUCUUCAAUGAGGACUUUAGGGAACUUCCAGGAACUCUUAAUGCUGACCACUUGGACAGAGACCUACGAACAGGUCAGCUAUAAGUGCUGGUACAGAUGCGCUCUUGUGUAUGAUUCUGCCGGAUACCAUAAGGAACUGUGAGAAGGAAAUGGCACAUGGUGGUUGGACUUGGACAACCCAUUCCCUACGGCACGCUGCAAUUAGCUUUGGUCAGUCAACUGUCAACCCCCUCUCAACAACAACAACAAAUAUCCUUAAGCUUUGUUGGUUUUAUUUUUGACAUUUAAUAGUGUAUCAUUUUUAAAAAAAUUAUUGAUAUUUAUUAGUACAACAAUACUACUAGUACUAUUGUUAGAAGUUAGAACAACGCUUUUUUGGUGUGGUCUCACUAGUAACUUCUGACUGAUUGAAUAACUCCGGCCAUGUCGUGUGGCCAGGCACGUAUAAAAAUUUGUGUUGUUAGAAAUAUAAAAUACUAAGCAUUAGAUAUUAGAAAAAUACUC